GAUGAACGCUGGCGGCGUGCCUAAUACAUGCAAGUCGAGCGAACGGACGAGAAGCUUGCUUCUCUGAUGUUAGCGGCGGACGGGUGAGUAACACGUGGAUAACCUACCUAUAAGACUGGGAUAACUUCGGGAAACCGGAGCUAAUACCGGAUAAUAUUUUGAACCGCAUGGUUCAAAAGUGAAAGACGGUCUUGCUGUCACUUAUAGAUGGAUCCGCGCUGCAUUAGCUAGUUGGUAAGGUAACGGCUUACCAAGGCAACGAUGCAUAGCCGACCUGAGAGGGGGAUCGGCCACACUGGAACUGAGACACGGUCCAGACUCCUAAGGGAGGCAGCAGUAGGGAAUCUGCCGCAAUGGGCGAAAGCAUGACGGAGCAACGCCGCGUGAGUGAUGAAGGUCUUCGGAUCGUAAAAAUCUGUUAUUAGGGAAGAACAUAUGUGUAAGUAACUGUGCACAGAUUGACGGUACCUAAUCAGAAAGCCACGGCUAACUACGUG
rnacentral:rRNA from 1 species